AACCCGUAAUACUUGAUGUAGAAAAAGUUCCAGCUUCCAUAAUUCUUUAUUAAAUAUUUGACAAGUUGCAUCACUUCUUUACAACGACUUCAUUUUGUCACAUUACUCUUUUGCUGUCAGGAAAACAAUCCACAAUUUCUCUUUAGAUCUCUCAAGAAAAAUGAAAAGCAAAAAGGAUUUGUCCUUCAACUAAACGUUUUCUGUCUGUAUCAAAUUCAACAGUAUUUUACAGCUAUUCUGAUUGUGAAAAUGACCAUUUAUCCAUACGUUGUCUUUUAAAAAAUUUCCAAGUUGUUUGGUUUUUAAUCACUGUAUCAAAUGGUACUUGGCUUUAUAUCAGGAGGUGGGUUUAUAACAAAAAGUUAUGAAACAUUUAGAAUUCAUUUGGAAUGCUUGAAACUUUUUUUCACCUUAAAAGUCACUGUUUUUUCAUGUUUCGUUUGAUAAUAGAUGCUGAGUUAAGAGAUGACGGCAUAUUAUAUCAUCAUCUUCCUGGGGUGCUCUCAGGCUCUGAGGGUCAGAAUUCUCAGGACACAGCUUGGAGGAAACUGUAGAAGGGACUAAACUCUCACUCCCUUUCGAAACCAGAUUCCUCAAGGGAACUGAAGAAGCUAGAUUCAGGUUAAUUUCUAAGAAAACAGAGACUCUAAGAGACCCUGGACUGCGGAGUAGCGUCACUGCUAAGGACAACUAGAUGAGGUGACACCGCCGUCCUGCCGUCCUCUCCCAGGCCUGCUGACCGGAGCAGAGGCCCAAGGGACCGCCCGGCAGCCUACUCCACAUGCAGUGCAUUCUCCUUACUGCCUUCUGUGAUUACGUCAUCAAGGUGAUGGAAAGUGGUCAUCAGGAUUGAGAGAAAACAAGACAGGUGACUAUUUUAGACAAAGAGUGAGACGCUGAGAAUUGAUGAAAACUAGGGAACGUUAUUUGGAUUAAAAAAAAGAAAACCAAAACCCCCAAACAAACUCUAGACCCAGCACUUUUGAGCUGUCACUGAAAUCAGAUAUUAAGGGAUAGAUGAGCUGAACUGUCAUUCACAGUUACUGCCUUUCAAGUAUUCAUGGGGGUCUAUUUCGGUAAUUCUUAUCUGUUCUUGGCACAGAAAUUAUCUCAGGAUGGGUUUUCUUUCUUAUUUUCAAUACUUUGCCUAAUUUGCAUUUAGUGAAUAUUCUGAUUUUUUGGAAUAUACAGUUUACAAAAAGACAGAAGAAUCCCAGUUCUUAGACAAGAAUCGUUGGAUUUCUCCCCCUAUAAUUACACACUCACUCUCAGAACCCAUCCAAGCAUACUGCUCUCCCAGGCUUUGGCAUAAGUCAUAAAAAGAAAGCCGAGUCUGGACUUGAGGGGCUACAAGAAGGGGGAGGUUUGCCACUGAGACAUCUGUUACACUGAGUGAUGGGAAAAAAAUCCCACCAAUAGGUAAAAAUAAUGAACAAUAUUGUUUUUUCUAAUUAUUCAAUAUCUAGGUUUGCUGAUCACUACUGGAUUUUAAAAAAUCAAUAUGAAAAGGGAACAAUCCUCAGCUCUGUAGAAAUCCACCUUCUUUUAGACACCUAGGCCUCUGCACCCCUUCAGAAAACUCCUUCACAGACAUUCGUGGCUUCCCACAAGCCGCCCAGAGCCGGGGUACAUUGAGUUUCUAACGCCAAAAGAUCCUAAACGGAGGCCCUGAAACCACGAUUUCAUUGUCUUACCUACAACUGGCAGGAGGUGAGAUGGCUACUGUCCCCCGACUGCCACCACGGGUCUAGGACAACACAGGUUAAGAAGGACAGCAGGAUUGCUGGACUCCCGCCCUGCCUCAGGCGUUCUCUCAAAACAUGACAGAAUUCUGCAAUAAGGACUCACAAGCGGCCAAGAAUCGAAUUCCACAGAACCCUCCAUCCCCGCCAGGACCAGCUGAAGAGCCGGACGUCAGGGGAUCAAAUCAAGUCUUCUCUCGCACUUUUAAUCCAGCACACAGCGGACACAACUUGGGCAGUACAUGGUAUGGAAGCAUGCAACAUGUCACUGGGAACAAAACCCGGUUAGAUUAGCUGUCUGUUAAUCUUUGCAGUGGCAUAGAAAUCACAAAACGAUUGGUGAGGACAGGUCUGUAGGCUCAGCUUUACAGCCAGGUUUUAUACACCAGCAGCCAGAUUCACAAUUGAUAGAUAUUGCACCGGAAAGGUGUGUGCAGAGGGAAGAAAUCAGCAUCACAGUCAAUGCUCAUGACAAAAAAAAAAC